rnacentral:rRNA from 1 species
UACGAAGGGUCCUAGCGUUGUUCGGAAUUACUGGGCGUAAAGGGCGCGUAGGCGGCUUACUAAGUCAGGUGUGAAAUCCCCGAGCUUAACUUGGGAAUUGCAUUUGAUACUGGUAAGCUAGAGUUCGAGAGAGGUGAGUAGAAUUCCUAGUGUAGAGGUGGAAUUCGUAGAUAUUAGGAAGAAUACCAGAGGCGAAGGCGGCUCACUGGCUCGAUACUGACGCUAAGGCGCGAAAGCGUGGGGAGCAAACAGG